rnacentral:rRNA from 1 species
CAAGGGGAUACCUUAGUAACGGCGAGUGAAGCGGUAAAAGCUCAAAUUUGAAAUCUGGUACUUUCAGUGCCCGAGUUGUAAUUUGUAGAAUUUGUCUUUGAUUAGGUCCUUGUCUAUGUUCCUUGGAACAGGACGUCAUAGAGGGUGAGAAUCCCGUUUGGCGAGGAUACCUUUUCUCUGUAAGACUUUUUCGAAGAGUCGAGUUGUUUGGGAAUGCAGCUCAAAGUGGGUGGUAAAUUCCAUCUAAAGCUAAAUAUUGGCGAGAGACCGAUAGCGAACAAGUACAGUGAUGGAAAGAUGAAAAGAACUUUGAAAAGAGAGUGAAAAAGUACGUGAAAUUGUUGAAAGGGAAGGGCAUUUGAUCAGACAUGGUGUUUUUUGCAUGCACUCGCCUCUCGUGGGCUUGGGCCUCUCAAAAAUUUCACUGGGCCAACAUCAAUUCUGGCAGCAGGAUAAAUCAUUAAGAAUGUAGCUACUUCGGUAGUGUUAUAGCUUUUUGGAAUACUGUUAGCCGGGAUUGAGGACUGCGCUUCGGCAAGGAUGUUGGCAUAAUGGUUAAAUGCCGCCCGUCUAGAAC